rnacentral:rRNA from 1 species
CAGUCGCCGCGGUAAAACGCGGGGGGCUAGCGUUGCUCGGAAUUACUGGGCGUAAAGGGAGCGUAGGCGGACAUUUAAGUCAGGGGUGAAAUCCCAGAGCUCAACUCUGGAACUGCCUUUGAUACUGGGUGUCUUGAGUGUGAUAGAGGUAUGUGGAACUCCGAGUGUAGAGGUGAAAUUCGUAGAUAUUCGGAAGAACACCAGUGGCGAAGGCGACAUACUGGAUCAUUACUGACGCUGAGGCUCGAAAGCGUGGUGAGCAAACAGGAUUAGAGACCCCGGUAGUCCCUGUCUCUUAUAC